ACUUGCCAAGAUUUAUCUAUUUUAUUUAUCUUUUAAUGAACACUGCUGUUGGAUUUCUGCAUUCAUCCUUAUUAAUUUGGUCCUUUAUUUUCUUUGAAUUAUUUUGUCAUUCGUUUUAAAAAUCUUUAACACAAUUGUUUACUUAUUUAAGCAAAUAAUUUAAUUUUUAUAAAAUAAAGCAUGCUUCCAUGAAAAAUGUAAGAAAUACAUAAAAGCACAAAAUAGUAAAAGGAAUAAAUCAACCAAUGUCCCAUUACCCAGAAAGAAAAGGUGUUAAUAUUAGUGGAGUACCAUUCCACACAUCUCUCUAAGUAUACACAGAAAUGAAUGGAUGAACACACAGAAUUGGAGAGAUACUGAGAUUACAGAAAAUUUUUUUUUUAAUUUAAAAAAAAUUUGUGUAAGAUCAUAGCUCACUGCAGACUUGAAUUCCUGGGCUCAAGAGAUCCUCCUGCUUCAUCCUCCUGAGUAGCUAGGACUACAGGUAUGGACCACCAUGUCCAGCUAAUUAAAAAAAAAUAUAUAUAUUUUUUUGAGACAGGGUCUUGCUCUGUUGCCCAGGCUGGUCCUGAAUUCUUAGCCUCGAGAGAUCCAAUCCUCCCUUGAGAACUGGAUCAAGGGGCGGUUUCCUCCAUGCUAUUCUCAUGAUAGUGACUGAGUUCUCAUGAGAUCUGAUGGUUUUAUAAGCAUCUGGCGUUGCCCUUGCUUGCACUUCCUCUCUCCUGUCACCUUGUGAAGAAGGUGCCUUGCUUCCCCUUCACCUUCCACCAUGAUUUUAAGUUUCCUGCAGCCUUCCCAGCCAUGCAAAACUGCUCAUAGGUGGAUGGAACUUGCCUUGUCUCAGAUGAUACUUUGGAGUCGGGCUUUUGAGUUAAUGCUGGAAUGAGUUAAGACUGGGGGACUGUUGGAAGGGUGGAGACACGCAUAGAACCUCACACACUCAAGACCUCCCCAUGGCAUACCAAAGAACCAGUAACUUACAAGAACCGAAAGAGCACCGAUGCACUUGAGAUUUUCUAAGUCUUCAUUUGAUUGUUUUUGUAGAGACUUAUUCUACUGGAAGUAUAUGAAUACUAACUCAAUGACAAGUCAUUAAACUCGAACUUUAUAAAAAUAUGAUUCUAAGGGCCACAAUGUCCAACUUCAGUAUAAAGACCUCUCUAAAAUAUUGAAAGCAGGUAUCUCCAAAUGUAAAUAUUUCACUAGCCACUUUGCAGUUUUAGUUUAGGCUCAAGUAUGAUUUUUAAUUUCGUUUUUAAAAAUAUCACCCAAAAUUAAAUACAUGUCUACCUAUUUCUGAUUCUUGAGCAUCUAUCUUAUACAUGUUCAAAACUGACCCAACCCCUAAUUUGUUUCACUGUAACACCAAACACAAGAAAAAUAACUGAGUUAUUGUAUACUAUAUACAAGAGGAUGUAUAUAGAUUAUAUGCAAACACUACAUUUUAUAUAAAGAACCUGAGCAUCUGUGAAUUUUGGUAUGCGUUGGGGGGGGGGUGGUCCUGGAGCCAAUCUCCUGAGGACACAUCAAGGAUGACUGUAAUUCCAUUUAUUAUAAUAUUCUUUUGCUAGUGUGAUCAUAUAUUAUACCUCUACAUAUAUUACAAAACCUCAUAAUGAUACCAUUCAACUUUUGUUUUAAAAAGUCAGCUUUCUUUUAAAGAAAGUGACAGAGGAAAAACAAAAAGCCAUUUGUAUUUAUCACCUUGGUGGUAUUCAUUUCUUCCUGUAGAACUGAGUUUCCAUCUGAUAUCACUGCCUUUCAGCUUAGAAACUCUUAGUAGUUCUUAUAUUGUAUGUCUAUUAACAAUAAAUAUCUAAGUUUUUAAAAUGUGAAAUUGUCUUACUUUACCUUCAUUUUUGAAUGAUAUUUUCAUUGGAUAUUGCAUUGUGACCUAAAGGUUUUGUUUUUUCUUCAUCCUUACAACUUUUUACUAAUGUCAUUCCAUAAUUUUUUGUCUUCGAUUUUUCUGAUAAGUCAGCUGUCAGUAAUAUUAUUGCUAUCCUGUAUUUAAUGCUUCUUUUGUUUUCUGGCUAUUUUGAAGAUUUUCUCUUUAUCUUUGAACUUUAUUUCUAUUUUUUUGAGAUAGAGUUUUGCUCUUUUGCCCAGGCUCAAGUGCCACGAUAUUGGCUCACUGCAACAUCCACCCUCUGGGUUGAAGCGAUUCUCCUGCCUCAGCCUCCUGAGUAGCUGCGAUU
rnacentral:lncRNA from 1 species